GAAUAUACAUGUGAGUGAAUAGUAAAAUUAUAGCUAAUGUUGUUUAAGUGUGUUAUACACAUUAAGGAUGUGGAAUGGAGAGGAGGAGGAGGAAAAUUGGGAAGUAUAUGAAUGAUUUGUGUAUAAUUGGUCAUAUGCUUGAUUAUAAUUGAUAAACGAUGAAAUAGAAAUAAUGCUUAUAUUUGUGCAUUAUUGGUUUUGGUUUAAGCUCAUGUGUGAAAAUAAAGUUUCAUAGUAUGUGUGUAUCGUAUAUUCGGUAUAUGAUUUGGCAUGAAAUAAUUUCAUGAAUGGUUUAUCAUGUGGUUAGUUCCAAAAAAGAGUUAUGUUUAAAUAUACUAGCUUGUGACUAUGGUUGAAUGCUAUGUUUAUAUCUUGUGUGAUGUGUAUAGGAAACAAGUGUGGUAAGAUAAUGAAAUAGUAAGUCCAUAUGACUGAAAUUUAAUGAUUAAAUGUUAAUUUCAUGAAUUAUAUAAUGUAUGAUGAAAUGUAUUUAGUGUUGAAAAGAGAGUAAAAUAAAAAUGCGAAAAUUGAAUAAAUGAUCAAAUUGAGCGGAACGCCGGAUUUGAGUACUUCUGAUCAAGUGACAAAGUGAUAGGUGAUAGCUUCGGCUACACUUAUCUGAUCAAGUGACAAGUGGAAAGUGAUAAGUGAUAGCUUCGGCUACACUUAUCUGAUCAAGUGACAAGUGGAAAGUGAUAAGUGAUAGCUUCGGCUAUACUUAUCUGAUCAAGAGACAAAGUGAUAAGUGAUAGCUUCGGCUACACUUAUCUGAUCAAGUGACAAGUGAAAAGUGAUAAGUGAUAGCUUUAGCUACACUUAUUUGAUCAAGAGACAAAGUGAUAAGUGGCUACACUUAUCUGAUCAAGAAACAAAGUGAUAAGUGGCUACACUUAUCUGAUCAGGGACAAGUGAUAAGUGAUCAUACGUAAGACCAUAGUUAUACUAUGGCAAAGUGAAAGUGAAGUACUCAAUUUUCCGUAACCGUUCCCUAAUUUGAUUAAGGAUGGUAAGUGACAAAUGGGCCCAAAUGAAUUAAAGUAAAUGAAUAAGUGGUAGUGUAUUUAUACCAGGAUGAUGUUGUUAUUUAAGCUAAAGUGAUAUUUUCAUUGCAAAAUUAAGAAUUUCAUAAAUGUGUUAUUGAAUGAUAUAAUCGAUAAACGUUGAGUUAAAUGGUAAAUACGUAUUAGUGUUAAACUUAGU
rnacentral:lncRNA from 1 species